rnacentral:rRNA from 1 species
GAUGAACGCUGGCGGCGUGCCUAAUACAUGCAAGUCGAGCGAACGGACGAGAAGCUUGCUUCUCUGAUGUUAGCGGCGGACGGGUGAGUAACACGUGGAUAACCUACCUAUAAGACUGGGAUAACUUCGGGAAACCGGAGCUAAUACCGGAUAAUAUUUUGAACCGCAUGGUUCAAAAGUGAAAGACGGUCUUGCUGUCACUUAUAGAUGGAUCCGCGCUGCAUUAGCUAGUUGGUAAGGUAACGGCUUACCAAGGCAACGAUGCAUAGCCGACCUGAGAGGGUGAUCGGCCACACUGGAACUGAGACACGGUCCAGACUCCUACGGGAGGCAGCAGUAGGGAAUCUUCCGCAAUGGGCGAAAGCCUGACGGAGCAACGCCGCGUGAGUGAUGAAGGUCUUCGGAUCGUAAAACUCUGUUAUUAGGGAAGAACAUAUGUGUAAGUAACUGUGCACAUCUUGACGGUACCUAAUCAGAAAGCCACGGCUAACUACGUGCCAGCAGCCGCGGUAAUACGUAGGUGGCAAGCGUUAUCCGGAAUUAUUGGGCGUAAAGCGCGCGUAGGCGGUUUUUUAAGUCUGAUGUGAAAGCCCACGGCUCAACCGUGGAGGGUCAUUGGAAACUGGAAAACUUGAGUGCAGAAGAGGAAAGUGGAAUUCCAUGUGUAGCGGUGAAAUGCGCAGAGAUAUGGAGGAACACCAGUGGCGAAGGCGACUUUCUGGUCUGUAACUGACGCUGAUGUGCGAAAGCGUGGGGAUCAAACAGGAUUAGAUACCCUGGUAGUCCACGCCGUAAACGAUGAGUGCUAAGUGUUAGGGGGUUUCCGCCCCUUAGUGCUGCAGCUAACGCAUUAAGCACUCCGCCUGGGGAGUACGACCGCAAGGUUGAAACUCAAAGGAAUUGACGGGGACCCGCACAAGCGGUGGAGCAUGUGGUUUAAUUCGAAGCAACGCGAAGAACCUUACCAAAUCUUGACAUCCUUUGACAACUCUAGAGAUAGAGCUUUCCCCUUCGGGGGACAAAGUGACAGGUGGUGCAUGGUUGUCGUCAGCUCGUGUCGUGAGAUGUUGGGUUAAGUCCCGCAACGAGCGCAACCCUUAAGCUUAGUUGCCAUCAUUAAGUUGGGCACUCUAAGUUGACUGCCGGUGACAAACCGGAGGAAGGUGGGGAUGACGUCAAAUCAUCAUGCCCCUUAUGAUUUGGGCUACACACGUGCUACAAUGGACAAUACAAAGGGCAGCGAAACCGUGAGGUCAAGCAAAUCCCAUAAAGUUGUUCUCAGUUCGGAUUGUAGUCUGCAACUCGACUACAUGAAGCUGGAAUCGCUAGUAAUCGUAGAUCAGCAUGCUACGGUGAAUACGUUCCCGGGCCU